GAGUGAACGCUGGCGGUAGGCCUAACACAUGCAAGUCGAACGGCAGCACAGAGGAGCUUGCUCCUUGGGUGGCGAGUGGCGGACGGGUGAGGAAUACAUCGGAAUCUACUUUUUCGUGGGGGAUAACGUAGGGAAACUUACGCUAAUACCGCAUACGACCUACGGGUGAAAGCAGGGGACCUUCGGGCCUUGCGCGAUUGAAUGAGCCGAUGUCGGAUUAGCUAGUUGGCGGGGUAAAGGCCCACCAAGGCGACGAUCCGUAGCUGGUCUGAGAGGAUGAUCAGCCACACUGGAACUGAGACACGGUCCAGACUCCUACGGGAGGCAGCAGUGGGGAAUAUUGGACAAUGGGCGCAAGCCUGAUCCAGCCAUACCGCGUGGGUGAAGAAGGCCUUCGGGUUGUAAAGCCCUUUUGUUGGGAAAGAAAUCCAGCCGGCUAAUACCUGGUUGGGAUGACGUACCCAAAGAAUAAGC
rnacentral:rRNA from 1 species